rnacentral:rRNA from 1 species
GACGAACGCUGGCGGCGUGCUUAACACAUGCAAGUCGAACGGAAAGGCCCUGCUUUUGUGGGGUGCUCGAGUGGCGAACGGGUGAGUAACACGUGAGUAACCUGCCCUUGACUUUGGGAUAACUUCAGGAAAAUGGGGCUAAUACAGGAUAGGAGCUACUGCUGCAUGGUGGGGGUUGGAAAGUUUCGGCGGUUGGGGAUGGACUCGCGGCUUAUCCGCUUGUUGGUGGGGUAGUGGCUUACCAAGCCUUUGACGGGUAGCCGGCCUGAGCGGGUGACCGGCCACAUUGCGACUGAGAUACGGCCCAGACUCCUACGGGAGGCAGCAGUGGGGAAUAUUGCACAAUGGGCGGAAGCCUGAUGCAGCAACGCCGCGUGCGGGAUGACGGCCUUCGGGUUGUAAACCGCUUUCGCCUGUGACGAAGCGUGAGUGACGGUAAUGGGUAAAGAAGCACCGGCUAACUACGUG